GACGAACGCUGGCGGCGUGCUUAACACAUGCAAGUCGAACGGUAAAGGCCUACCUUUCUCUGCUGGUCGAGUGGCGAACGGGUGAGUAACACGUGAGUAACCUGCCCCUGACUCUGGGAUAACCUCAGGAAACUGCGUCUAAUACCGGAUACGAGCUCCUGAUGCAUCUUCGGCGUCUGAAAAUUGUGUCGGUCAGGGAUGGACUCGCGGCUUAUCAGCUUGUUGGUGAGGUAGUGGCUCACCAAGGCUUUGACGGGUAGCCGGCCUGAGAGGGUGACCGGCCACACUGGGACUGAGACACGGCCCAGACUCCUACGGGAGGCAGCAGUGGGGAAUAUUGCACAAUGGGCGAAAGCCUGAUGCAGCAACGCCGCGUGCGGGAUGACGGCCUUCGGGUUGUAAACCGCUUUUGGCAGGGACGAAGCGUAAGUGACGGUAAUGGCAGAAGAAGCGCCGGCUAACUACGUG
rnacentral:rRNA from 1 species